GUGCUUCGUUUGGCAGCACGUAUACUAAAAUUGGAAUGAUACAGAGAAGAUGAGCAUGGCCUGUGUGCAAGGGUGACCAACAUAUUCAUGAAGCAUUCCAUAUUAAA
ensembl:snRNA U6 U6 spliceosomal RNA